UUCUGGAGAACUCUUCCGUAUCUCUUCCUCACUCUCUCUCAGAACCUAUCUCUUCCUCACUCUCAAAACCACAAAUCCCAAAUUUUCUCUUCUCUAUCUCCUUCCUCACUCUCUCAGAACCAACUCUGCUAUUUAUCUGAAUCAUCUCAUUCUCACCCACUCACACAAACACCCAAAGAAACACAAAACCUAGAAUUAGAAAUCAAAUUUCCAAAUAACACCCAAAAAGCCAGAAAUAGGAAAGAACAGACUUGAAUAAGUAGUUAACAAUAACAAUAUCAUACCUUGAGAGAUAUCACAUAGCAUAUGAGACCGAUUGGAAAGAGGAAAGGAAGGGAGGACACAAUCAGAGGAACGAUAAAAUUGCAACUCUUCACAGCAGCACCAAGUCUAUGAUUUACAGGAAAAGGAGAUUCUAAAAUGAAUUGAAUUGACUUAAAGGAAAAAAAUUAUUGACAUAUUGUGUUUGACCAAAGUGGAGUACUCUAUUUUAAUAUCAUGGCCAAAUUAAAAGGAAUGAUGGGUUAUAGGCUGGUUGACCCGAUCCAAAAAGAAGGUGGUCUAAUUCAUUGGUAUUGAGUGGCGCACUGUUGAAGGAGAUUUCACGCACACCCAAGAGGAGGAGAACGACACAUGGACAGAGAGGGAUGCUGCCUCAUGCAAUUGGAACAAUAGCAUAUUUGAAGGAUUUGCUUCAGGGUUAAUUCUUCUUUUGUAUGUUUAUUUAUUUAUUUAUAUGAACAUGAGUAGCUAAACUCUAGAUUAAUCCUUAGGGGAUUCUUAUUAUUAUUUCUCUUGAACUAUGUGAUUAUCAUAUGUUAUGAUUAAUGAAUUACGAAGUUAGUUUCUU